UGUAUAAAACCAUGUUUGAUGACAGCUGUCAAUUUUUUAAGUUUAAAUUUCACGUGACCUUGUACUACGUUUUAUAAAUAACUUUAAAAAGUUAAAAAGCGUUUAUAAAAUUUUAUAAAAAUGGUUGGCUUUGAUUUUGGAGAUUUUUUAGCACUUGUAAUGGGAUUAUUUUUAACAACAAUCGGAGCAUUAGCUUGUUUAGGAGCAUAUGCCAGAAGAUUAGCUCUAAUACAACGCAUUUAAAAUGAUAUAUAAAGUAGCGUUGAAAGAAUAUCCCAAAAUCUAAUUUUGUACCAGAAUGAUAUAUUUAAUAAAAUUAUUAUAUUAAAA